GAUGAAGAACGUAGCGAAAUGCGAUACGUAAUGUGAAUUGCAGAAUUCAGUGAAUCAUCGAAUCUUUGAACGCAUAUUGCGCUCUCUGGUAUUCCGGAGAGCAUGCUUGUUUGAGUAUCAGUAAACACCUCAACUUCCAUAUCUUUUUUGAAAUGGGAGUUGGACUUGUGUGAUCCCAACGCUUUUCCUCACCGAAAAGUGGCGGGUUACUUGAAAUGCAGGUGCAGCUGGACUUUUCUCUGAGCUAUAAGCAUAUCUAUUUAGUCUGCCUAAAAAACAGAUUAUUACCUUUGCUGCAGCUAACAUAAAGGAGAUUAGUUCUUGUGCUGACUGAUGCAGGAUUCACAAAGACGGCUUCGGCCGACUUUGUAAACUCGAUCUCAAAUCAAGUAAGACUACCCGCUGAACUUAAGCAUAUCAAUAAGCGGAGGA
rnacentral:misc_RNA from 1 species